UGGGGAAUAUUGGGCAAUGGGCGAAAGCCUGACCCAGCGACGCCGCGUGGACGAUGAAGGCCUUCGGGUUGUAAAGUCCUGUCAUGCGGAAAGAACAGCCUUAUGGUGAAUACCCAUGAGGUUUGACGGUACCGCAGGAGGAAGCACCGGCUAACCCCGUGCCAGCAGCCGCGGUAAUACGGAGGGUGCAAGCGUUGUUCGGAAUUAUUGGGCGUAAUGGACGCGUAGGCGGUAAUGGAAGUCAGGUGUGA
rnacentral:rRNA from 1 species